CACAGCCUUGGCACCGCCCCCAAGCCGAAGUGUUGGAAGCACUCACAGCCUUGGCACCGCCCCCAAGCCGAAGUGUUUUUGAGCUGGGGAAGUGCUGUGGAACAUCAGAUAGAAUGGAUAGCACAGCCCAAAUUUUACAAAAAGGAUUUUAAAGGAAGAUCUCAAUGGUGGAACACUAGAGGCUUUCCUGCUAAAGUUAAGAACAAGCAAAGGCUGACGCAGUUUUGGCAUGCAGGAAGUGUUGGAGCUGAGACUCGAAACUGUCCCCCAGGCCUUGGCCAUGCUGAUAAAUAUCUAGGCCCUACAGGAGUUCGUGUCCAUGAACCCAGUAAACGCAAUUCCUCAGCCUUAAAAUCUAGUCACUGACUCAUUUCAGGCCCCAGCACAGACGAAAACAAGCCAUUCUGUUUGCCCAGUUUACAUUGCGGGUCUCCAAGAAGUGGAAUGUUCACCAAUGAUUUUAAGAAAACAGGGCCUGGCGCGGUGGCUCACGCCUGUAAUCCCAGCACUUUGGGAGGCCGAGGCAGGCAGAUCACCUGAG
rnacentral:lncRNA from 1 species